rnacentral:rRNA from 1 species
UACGAAGGGGGCUAGCGUUGCUCGGAAUCACUGGGCGUAAAGCGCACGUAGGCGGAUUGUUAAGUCAGGGGUGAAAUCCUGGAGCUCAACUCCAGAACUGCCUUUGAUACUGAGGGUCUUGAGUCCGGGAGAGGUGAGUGGAACUGCGAGUGUAGAGGUGAAAUUCGUAGAUAUUCGCAAGAACACCAGUGGCGAAGGCGGCUCACUGGCCCGGUACUGACGCUGAGGCACGAAAGCGUGGGGAGCAAACAGG